rnacentral:lncRNA from 12 species
AUGUCAACCGCUAGCGCCUUCGCCGCUCUCUUUUGGCCGCAGGACGGCGGCCCGGCCCCNNNNNNNNNNCCUCGCCCAAGAGCCGAUCGAUGGUCGCCCAACCCCGGCAAGUGCAGCACGCCCAAGGCAAAACACUCGGAGCCCGCCGCCCGCGGCCCCCUCACCCGCUACCUGACGACGGGCGGCCGGCGGUCGCGGCAGCCGCAGCGGUGGCCGGCGGUGCGCGCCGGUGCACGUCCCUCAUUAGUACCCAGGCACAUUCCUGCCGCCGGCGCUCCCGCGCGGCCCCCUCCCCCCAGGACAUUACGCAAAGCAGCCUCCCCUCAUCUGCAUAGAUCCUCGGCCAGGGUAUUCCCCGCAUUUCCCGGCGCGCCGGACCCCCCGGGCGAGGUCUCCCCCGUCCCCGCCCCCUCCGACCCUCACCCUCGGGCCGCCGCCAAGGGGCCGGGGGCGCGCGCCGCGACGGGCGACCGAGGCCGGCGGACGCGAUCUCGGCAUAAAGUGAAACAAGCUCCCGAGGCGAGGGGAGGCAGGAAAAACACGGCGCCCGCGCCCGGGCCACUUACCGCGCCGAGGAACCUAGAUUCCCGCCGCUCCGCUCUCCCGAACGGCCGGUCCGCCCUCCUCGCACCCCGGGGCUGCACCCGGCACCCCAGAGUCCAGGCGUGCAGGAACAGUGCUAAGGAGCCGGGAGACCCUCCAAGUUGCUCCAGGCUCGGGGGAGCCUCCAGGUCCAAGACCCAACUUGGCAAAGACUUGUGCCACGGUCCCCGCAGAUGUUCCGGCGGAGACCCUCCUCCGGCGGGGACGCAGCGCCCGGCGGCGCCCCGCUCCGCUCCUCUCCACCCUCUCACCGCCAGCCCGCCUCCCGCCGGCCGCCCGCCUCCGGUCCGCGAGCCCCUCGGGCGGCUGUCAGCUCCCGGCCGCCGCCGGGUGACCCGGGCGGGAGGAGGGCGCGACGCGGCGGCCCGAGCCCGAGCGGGCGAGGGGGAUCCUCGCAGCCGCGGCGGCCGCUCACCUGGAAAGUCACCGCUGAGAAGGAGGAGGAGGAGGAGGAGGAGGAGGAGGAGGACGGAGAAGAGGAGGAGGGAGAGGAGGAGGGAGAGGAGGAGGAGGAGGAGGAGGAGGAAACCCCCCUGGUGCCCUUGUUCUCGCUGGCGCGGCGGCCGCUCCUCGCCAAGGCUGAGCGUGUCUGGUGGGGGGUGUCUGGUAGCAUUUCCUUAA